rnacentral:snRNA from 1 species
AUACUUGCUUCGGCAGUAUAUAUACUAAAAUUGGAACGACACAGAGAAGAUUAGCAAGAAUGACACGAAAUGUCGUGAAGCUUUUCCCGUUUUG